UACGUAGGGUGCAAGCGUUGUCCGGAAUUAUUGGGCGUAAAGAGCUCGUAGGCGGUCUGUCGCGUCUGCUGUGAAAACCUGGGGCUUAACCCCGGGCCUGCAGUGGGUACGGGCAGACUAGAGUGUGGUAGGGGAGACUGGAAUUCCUGGUGUAGCGGUGGAAUGCGCAGAUAUCAGGAGGAACACCAAUGGCGAAGGCAGAUCUCUGGGCCGUAACUGACGCUGAGGAGCGAAAGCAUGGGGAGCGAACAGG
rnacentral:rRNA from 1 species